UACGAAGGGACCUAGCGUAGUUCGGAAUUACUGGGCGUAAAGCGCGCGUAGGCCGUUGAGUUAGUUAAUUGUGAAAUCCCAAAGCUUAACUUUGGAACUGCAAUUAAAACUGCUCGACUAGAGUUUGAUAGAGGAAAGCGGAAUACAUAGUGUAGAGGUGAAAUUCGUAGAUAUUAUGUAGAACACCAGUUGCGAAGGCGGCUUUCUGGAUCAACACUGACGCUGAGGCGCGAAAGUAUGGGUAGCAAAGAGG
rnacentral:ncRNA from 2 species